rnacentral:lncRNA from 10 species
CCUUCCUGUGCAGGUGGUGGUGCCCUCUGCGCCUUCACUGGGGCCCAGCCAAGUAACUGAAUCCAGCCAGGAGCAAGGGCAGACGCUGGCACAGGUCCUGCCACUGUCCCCAACCUGGGUUUCAACACAGCUGAGGCCUGGCAUAGUCUUUCUGGGCGCCUCUGGCUGGCUCGGUCUGAAAGGCGCGGCCAGGUCACAGUCGGCACCAGAAGUUUGGCAGAUCUCAGUGAGGCGUUAGUUUGCAUUUCCUUGUGACGGAGUCUCACUCUGUUGCCAGGCUGGAGUACAAUGGUGCCAUCUUGACUCACUGCAACCUCUGCCUCCCGGGUUCAAGCUAUUCUCCUGCCUCAGCUUCCUGAGUAGCUGGUACUACAGGCGUGUGCCACCAUGCCCAGAAUCCCAGUAGGUUGCUCGGUGCCUGGUUCUGACGCUAUCCCUCAGAGCCUGUGGAAGUUGCUGAUGCCAGGAUG